CCUACGGGAGGCAGCAGUGGGGGAUAUUGCACAAUGGAGGAAACUCUGAUGCAGCGACGCCGCGUGAGGGAAGACGGUCUUCGGAUUGUAAACCUCUGUCUUUGGGGAAGAAAAUGACGGUACCCAAAGAGGAAGCUCCGGCUAACUACGUGCCAGCAGCCGCGGUAAUACGUAGGGAGCGAGCGUUGUCCGGAAUUACUGGGUGUAACGGGAGCGUAGGCGGGCGAGAAAGUUGAAUGUUAAAUCUACCGGCUUAACUGGUAGCUGCGUUCAAAACUUCUUGUCUUGAGUGAAGUAGAGGCAGGCGGAAUUCCUAGUGUAGCGGUGAAAUGCGUAGAUAUCAGGAGGAACACCGGCGGCGAAGGCGGCCUGCUGGACCGUAACUGACGUUGAGGCUCGAAAGCGUGGGGAGCAAACAGGAUUAGAUACCCCUGUAGUC
rnacentral:rRNA from 1 species